rnacentral:rRNA from 1 species
UACGAAGGGGGCUAGCGUUGCUCGGAAUCACUGGGCGUAAAGGGUGCGUAGGCGGGUCUUUAAGUCAGGGGUGAAAUCCUGGAGCUCAACUCCAGAACUGCCUUUGAUACUGGAAUUCUUGAGUUCGGAAGAGGUAGGUGGAACUGCGAGUGUAGAGGUGAAAUUCGUAGAUAUUCGCAAGAACACCAGUGGCGAAGGCGGCCUACUGGUCCGAUACUGACGCUGAGGCACGAAAGCGUGGGGAGCAAACAGGG